rnacentral:lncRNA from 1 species
CAAACAUCUGUUAUUUAUUUUUCAUUUUUUGGGUAAAUGAAAAAGCAACAAACCCCGUUUCCCGAAAAUGGAGCCUGAAUUCCACCCAUGUGGUCCUUGGCCUAGAAUGUGACACAGCCACGGAGUGAAGGUUAGGAAUGAGAGCUGACUUUCUAUGUGAUCCUGGGCAAGCCACCCACAUCUCAGAGCUUCAGUCUCCCCACUGUGAAGGACAGACUGUCAUUUCUAUCUCCACCAGAGCUAGGCAUGUAGGGCUAAAAGCUGAGAACGCCAAGACAUCUUCUGCAGCUCCUCUCUCUGUGCCUUGGAUGACCCUCCCAGCUACAAAUUCUAGGCAGUCUGUUCUGCUUGGGCAGGUGUUACUUUGUUCUCAAGCCCAUCACACCAUGCAGACAUCACCUUCUCCUUCUGGAGACUAGCACAUCCUUCAGGGUCAAGGAACUGGUUUUGGAUCCAGAGGAACAAUGCCCCUCGUGUUUGAAAUUCUACAGAAGAGAGGAAGAACUCAGACAGAAAGCUAAGAAAUGAACCGAUGUGAUGAAAAACAGAUGAAAGCCCCUUUCUUCUUAAACGAGGACAUUGCUUUCAAAACAAGCAAGGACACUGUGUUGGGAAAUUUCAAGUUCUGCUUACUGUUUUGCUCUUAGGGCAAUUUUGAUAAAUAAGAUCCCAUUGUGAUUCGUUGGCUUUUCCAAAUUUGCUGUAAGCUCCUUUAGCUUGGUGGUGGUAGGUUGAUAGGUUAUGAAGAAAACAGGAAGAGAAAUCCAGGCUAAAAUGCUUUUUUAAGAGUUAGUGCCCUUGAGGGCACCACUUGAUUCAGCUUCUACAUCUUUCCAUGUAUCCUAUUAUUUCUGAACUCACUUUGCCUAUAUGUUCUCAAAAUACCUAAAAAUAAACACUCGUUACUAGAUGGC